rnacentral:tRNA from 1 species
GACUCUGUAGUGAAAUUCAUGUUGAGUUGCAAACUCAGAGAUGUACGUUGAAUAUAGUACCAGGGUCU